rnacentral:rRNA from 1 species
AGUAUCCUAACUGUGCGAAGGUAGCGUAAUCAUUUGUUCUUUAAAUGAGGACUAGUAUGAAUGGCAUCACGAAGAUUAUACUGUCUCCUUUUUCUAAUCAGUGAAACUAAUCCCCCCGUGAAGAAGCAGGGAUAAAAAUAUAAGACGAGAAGACCCUAUGGAGCUUUAAACUAAAUAACAAUUGCCCUAUAGUAUNCAAAUUUGAGAAAAUUAUUAAUAUUCUGGUAAUAUGUUUAUAAGUUUUAGGUUGGGGUGACCGCGGAGAAAAAAAUAUCCUCCGCAUUGAACAAGAUUUUAUCUUAAGCCAAAAGCUACAUCUUAAAGCAUCAAUAAAUUGACAUCAUUGACCCAAUAAUUUUGAUCAACGGACCAAGUUACCCUAGGGAUAACAGCGCAAUCCAUCUCAAGAGCCCCUAUCGACAGAUGGGUUUACGACCUCGAUGUUGGAUCAGGAUAUCCCAGUGGUGCAGCCGCUACUAAAGGUUCGGUNGCUCAA